AAAAAACAUACAAAAUAACACCCAAAAAAUACACUAGCCUGAAUGGAAUAGGAACGCCAUUCGCAACAGACCCUACCCCUGCCCCCCAUAUUUCAUCUUCCUCGCUCCACCAAACGACCCUCUGUUCAAAACACACCGAGCUUCAGCCGCAGGCCACCCUUCCCCUAAAGGUUUUCUUCUGGAGACACUCACAAAGAUUAAACAAAAAGGAUCCCUCCUUCUUCACUUAUUAAACCUUGAGCACCUAACAUGGAACCCUAGAGCAGAGAGGCCCAAGCCAUUUCUGAUCUAAAUCCAGUGACCCUUCAAUGAACUUUAUCACAAAUACACACAAACACACAGAGAUACGCAUUUGUUUCAGUUUCGUUAUGAUGAUUUCAAUUUUCAGUUUUGCUAUGGAGUUCCUCUAAAUUUCAAAUGUUCGCUUGUUCUGAUUUGAAUGGAGAUUGAUUCAAUAUUUGGGAUGGAGUUUGUUUGAGCUUUAUUUCUUCUUUGUUGGUUUGAUGGUGACUAUUCGAGGUCGAAGUUCGCGGUUCCGUGGACCGAUUUCGUUGCUGCUUAUUUCGUCGUAUUUUGUGGUACCAGUUUUGGGGUAGCUACGCUGGAUUUGUGCGUAUCUACGGGUAGUAGAGAACUCAGACAGAAUUGUGAAAUAAAUUAGGAUAGAGGUUAACUGGAAUUUCAGUUUUUUUAGGCUCUAAAUUAUUGAUGCAUAUAUAAAGAGAUUUAAGUUUUUUUCAGCUUUCAUGUUUUCGAUUUCACAUAUAAGGAC
rnacentral:lncRNA from 1 species